AGCAACCUUUUGGCAGAUGUUCUUCAUGGCACAUGGAAACACAAAGCAAACCUCUCCACACUCUCCCAAGCGUAUUUAACAAUCGAUCAUCGGGUAGAUACAGCUCAUUAAACCUGAAAAAUGAAGCAAGAAGCGCUUACCAUGGGCAGUGUGACGCCUGGAAAGAGAUCCAUGUAGAUGCCAAUGAAGAGGGAAAUAUCCUGCUCGAGGAAUUUCGGCAAAUUGACAUCAACAAUGGCACGCAAAACAAUCUCCGGCUCGGGCAGAUCCACGUAGAGGCGUCGCAGGGAUGCGGAGGCCAGCAGCACGGACUUGACGGCGCGCAUACCUGUCGAUAGAUGGACACGGACAUGGAGGGGAGAGGUAUUUGCUGGCGUUGGAUGGCGUCGCCGUGCCUGUCUGCCGUUCCCCUCCUGGUUCCUGGCUCCUGGCUGUGGCCGAAGCUUCAUUAUACGCGCCAGGGAAAUGCUAAACUUUUGCAACGUUGCAAAAACAGCUGGGCAGUAGGGCAAAGGAGGAGGAGGAGGAGGAGCAGGAAACGACGUAGGACUCGCAGGAUAUAAUUUGAUCUCUCGGACAUCCUCUUCUUAUCUUUAAUCUAUCG